rnacentral:misc_RNA from 1 species
GAGUGAUGAGACGAGCGCUAACAGAGAGAGUGAAGAGGUCACUGCGAACUGAAG